ACCCAUCUGUGCCGCCCCGACCGGCUGCGCGCGCAGAUAUCGAGCGGGGCGUGCCGGAGGGCUUCUCUGCUUUUAGGUUUCAGAGUCCUGUUGCCUACCCCGACGUAAUACAUCACCCUGGCGUCACCUUUCCAUGUGUGAUGUGACGCAGAGCAUGAUCCUUGGGCCUCUUUGUCCCUCCUGACCAAGGUGAACGGGCAGGAUGGCCUCGCCCCUUAGGAGCAAGUCCUCCUCCCCGCGAGUGGAAAGCACCCGCCACAAGGAGACAUCGACUGUCCGCGUGGAGACGUCGUCCCACCGCGAGGAAACAUCAUCCCACCGCGUGGAGACGUCCUCCCGGCAGGUUCGAACGUCUUCCCGGCAGGUGGAGACCUCCCAGCGCCACCGAGAGGGCCCCUCCCUCACCCCCUCCACGAAGCGACUCCCUCAAUUCCUCGAGGUGUCCUCCCAGCACGUGGAAACCUCCUCGCAGUGCACGGAAACGUCCUCCCGCCACGUCAGGGCGUCGUCAUCCCUGAGGGUGGAGACUACUGUGCACCGUGUAGAGAGCCCAGCCAGGCGAGACAAGCAAGCCACUCGGCAGAGUGCCAGAAUGGCUCGAUGAAGUGCCAAAGGUCCUUAGCCAGGACUGAAGAGUUGCCAGCCAGCCAGCUUUCAAGAGAGCCGAGCAUCUUUGGUUUCAUGGAAAGAGCCCAUAAAUCAGUGUAAGAAACAAGCUGUGGGUUUCUGGGAGCUGUUAACAUGUACUGACAUUGCAGCACCUUAGACCAUCCUACUGUUGUCCCCAGUGUACUAUUAACUUGAAGCCAGCACGGAAGGGUUUCAGAUUUGUGGUGCUGUAUAAACCCAGCUGAUGGACAAAGAGAUUCUUUGAGUCUCUACAUCAGGUAAGUUUUAUAGUCUUAGGUCGCUCUAGGAUGUGUUGACGACUUGAAAUUUGCAAAGAGGGGCCAAACUUGUCAUGAUUCUUGACCACUGGCCUGAUCAUAUACCUGCUUGAAACCUACGGGGCAAGGUAUCAUCUUUCAUACAUUAUUAAUUGGCCUUUAUUAGUACUUAUAUUUCAUGAUACAUUUUCUCAUGUUGUCAUACACGGUAUUCCAUCUACACUUGAAAAAAAUAAAUCAGGGUUUAGAAAAAACAGGACAAUUAAUAAACAAUAAAAAAAAUUUAAUGAUCUUGGAAGGGAAAGUAAAGAAGCCAUGACACUUGGCCUGAGGUGUGAGAUCGACAGAGGAUGGUUACUGAGUACUUCCUGCGUGCUAGGUAGUGGUUAGAGCAUGUCAGCGUUAGCAGUGGAAAAGACUGAGAUCUUCCUCUAGUGAAGAGGCAUACAACAAAGGGGAAAGUAAGACAAUAUUCUGUUGUAUUCCUGUGAAGGAAAAGCUGUCUUGUGGUAGAGAGUAGGGAGCUCUUUAGAGAAUCUGGUCAGGGAAAGCCUUGCUGAUUACGUUUGGUCCGAGAUUUGUGCGGGUGAACAGUGAGCCAUCAAUGUUGCAUUGGUACCCAAGUUGGGAAUGAUUUUUGUCUCCAGAGACGUGUGUGUUUGGGGCGGCUUGGAAGGUGCUACUGCUAGCCUCAAGCGUCUAGAUGCCAGGGAUGCUGCUCACAUCCUGUGGUGCCCAGGUCAGCACCCUGUCCCUCCUCCAACAAAGAAUCGCUGUGCUGAGAAAGGCCGUAGUUGGUGAAGCUGAGAAACAGCGAGGUUUCUAGCAGCUUUGCUAGAGGGUGGUCCCCUAAGCCAACCCCUCACUUCUGCACAGCAGAAUUGUGGAAAGCCUGAAAGACAGUCAUGGAAGUGUGUUGAGAGCAUCUUCUGGUGAGGAGCAAAGCAAGCAUUCUCAGAGGAAGAGGAUGUGUUGCUCUGUGAGGAACCCACUACCCCUCUUCAGUAACGCAUGUACUACUUGCCACUAGAGCAGAAGGCUGCAGAUGAUGCUGAUUCAGCAGGACUCCUCAUGGGUUAGAGCACUUACUGAUUCCGGGCACUAAUUUAGGCCCAGGAAGUAUACUGGGCUGUCCCCACAGAAUGGGGGCGCGGGUCAGAAGAAAUGUCAUAACUGUUAUAGAUGUUAUAACUAUCACCACUACCCCAAGGCUACCCGAAUGCCUCUCUGCCUCACAAAACUGCUAGUAACAGAGAAUUAGCUAAUAGCAAAGAAUUGUCAGUCUUUUCCAGUUUACUAAUUCUUUUUAAUAUGGCCAACUGUGCCUUAAAUAAACAAAUAAAAAACAGAGCAGUUGCUUCUCCUUAACAGUGUUCCUCAUCUUGGUACAAAAGUGGUAGGUGUCUAAUGUAAUGAAGUAAGUGAACAUAACGUUCAAUACAGUAUCAUAGCUCCUGUCCAUUACUAGCCUGGAAAUAAUGUCAGAAAUGUGUUUGUCUGUCCAGAAUUUUCUCCAUUAAUGACUGCUUCUGUUUCCUCUUUUAGUAGUAUUUGGAAGACUGGCCGAAUGUGACUCUGGAAAAGCCAGGCACCUGCUUCUGGAUCACUGAUGCUUCAGGAAGGGCGUGGGAAGGAUCCCGGUAGAUUCCCUGUGGUCCUUGUCUUAUUUUUAUCUAGGAUUCUUCCUCCAUAUUUCACGUAUUCAUGUUCCGAGAGAGAGAGAGAGAGAGAGAGAGAGAGAGAGAAUGUAAUGAAACAUCUUUGCCAUAAAUCUAUAUUAUACAUUCCACAGCUUCAAAAUGACAGUGUGCGUCAAUGAAGGUAAUUGUUGAUGUACCUGUUGCACUUUGUAAAUGUGCGUGUUACUGUUAGCCAUGCUGUGUGUCUUCCUCAUUGUUCUCUGUAGGAAAUAGAGCUGCUAUACCUGGCAUAUGUUACACAGUGUUAAAGACAGCAUGUGCAACAAUAAUAGAUGAAGAGCAAUAUUCUCCAUUUGCAGCCGAGAAAGCCUUUAAUGACAGUCUAAUAAUUGGAUUUAUUAUGCUGGGUAAUAGUUGUGUCUUGCCCUCAGCUGUGCCAGCCAGGCUAGUUUUAAAAACUAAAUAAAUGCAAGUUCUUGUAAAGAA
ensembl:processed_transcript